GGGAUAACAUUUGGAAACAGAUGCUAAUACCGCAUAAGAUUACAGUACCGCAUGAUACAGUGAUCAAAGGAGCAAUCCGCUGAAAGAUGGGCUCGCGUCCGAUUAGAUAGUUGGUGAGGUAACGGCUCACCAAGUCGACGAUCGGUAGCCGGACUGAGAGGUUGAACGGCCACAUUGGGACUGAGACACGGCCCAGACUCCUACGGGAGGCAGCAGUGGGGAAUAUUGCACAAUGGGCGAAAGCCUGAUGCAGCAACGCCGCGUGAGGGAAGACGGUUUUCGGAUUGUAAACCUCUGUUUUCGGUGACGAACAAAUGACGGUAACCGAGUAGGAAGCCACGGCUAACUACGUGCCAGCAGCCGCGGUAAUACGUAGGUGGCAAGCGUUAUCCGGAAUUACUGGGUGUAAAGGGAGCGCAGGCGGGAUAGCAAGUCAGCUGUGAAAACUAUGGGCUCAACCCAUAAACUGCAGUUGAAACUGUUAUUCUUGAGUGGAGUAGAGGCAAGCGGAAUUCCGAGUGUAGCGGUGAAAUGCGUAGAUAUUCGGAGGAACACCAGUGGCGAAGGCGGCUUGCUGGGCUCUAACUGACGCUGAGGCUCGAAAGUGUGGGGAGCAAACAGGAUUAGAUACCCUGGUAGUCCACACUGUAAACGAUGAU
rnacentral:rRNA from 1 species